GUAACACGUGGGCAACCUGCCCUGCAGAUCGGGAUAACUCCGGGAAACCGGUGCUAAUACCGAAUAGUUUGCGGCCUCUCAUGAGGCUGCACGGAAAGACGGUUUCGGCUGUCACUGCAGGAUGGGCCCGCGGCGCAUUAGCUAGUUGGUGAGGUAACGGCUCACCAAGGCCACGAUGCGUAGCCGACCUGAGAGGGUGAUCGGCCACACUGGGACUGAGACACGGCCCAGACUCCUACGGGAGGCAGCAGUAGGGAAUCUUCCGCAAUGGACGAAAGUCUGACGGAGCAACGCCGCGUGAGUGAAGAAGGUUUUCGGAUCGUAAAACUCUGUUGUGAGGGAAGAACAAGUACCAAGUAACUACUGGUACCUUGACGGUACCUCACCAGAAAGCCACGGCUAACUACGUGCCAGCAGCCGCGGUAAUACGUAGGUGGCAAGCGUUGUCCGGAAUUAUUGGGCGUAAAGCGCGCGCAGGCGGUCCUUUAAGUCUGAUGUGAAAGCCCACGGCUCAACCGUGGAGGGUCAUUGGAAACUGGGGGACUUGAGUGCAGAAGAGGAAAGUGGAAUUCCACGUGUAGCGGUGAAAUGCGUAGAGAUGUGGAGGAACACCAGUGGCGAAGGCGACUUUCUGGUCUGUAACUGACGCUGAGGCG
rnacentral:rRNA from 1 species